CUGUUGUAGACUUCUGACCUGUGCAUGGCAGUAAUGGCAUGUAAAUCACUCAUUACUGUGUUUUAAAGUUGGUUUAAUAAUACUUUCCUGUGGACAUUUUGUCUCAAAUUUUCUACAUCAUAAGGAUGAAGUGUCAGCGGACAACCGGUAGAAUUCCAACAGAAGUGUUUUGCUGUUUUGCGAUGCAAUUCCUGAGCUAAUGGAAACUCUGGAGGGAACACAAAAAAAAGCCUGCUCGAAGCGGUUUACCGAUAAACUUGUGGUAAAACAGCUAGCUAAAAGUUACAGCCUUAUUCAUCAAUCUACACACGCAAGGGAAAAGAUCAUUGCCUGCCACCAAAAGCUUUGAUGGUCUCUGUGAGAGUGAAAAACUCUCCAGAAGUGUGGGCAGAGGGGAUUAACAAUUCCAACCCCUGGCUGUUAAGGAGUGCAAAAAGACAACACGUGCAGAAGGACAACAGUGCAGUAGUCAAGGACAAUGUGUAUGGUGUUCAUUGCAGGACAUCCUCAGCGUCAUACCUCACCUCUUCUUGAGUCAAUCCUCACUCUUUGUUGAGUCAAUCAUCACCCUUUGAGUCAAUUCCCAGCACUUUUUGAUUAAAUUCUUACCUAUUCUUGAGUCAAUGCUCCUCACCCCUUUUUGAGUCAAUCAUCAUUCUUUAGAUGGAUUACCAAUGGGACAAUACAUUUGAUGUAUUGAUCAUCAGCCAAUCAAUUGACCAGUGCCCCCUUCAAUUUAAGAUGCUACUUUCUCUAUCCUGUAUGCAUAGAACUAGGGAGCAAUUCAGGUCAAUGAAAUUGCUAAUGCACCCAUUAGGGCAGAGCGUUACCAUUGUGUUUGAAAGAGCAGACGGUGAGUGUCUGUUCUUCCGUGUCUGGAAUAUUAACCAGGUACACCAGCACCAAGGACAGGUUUUUAUGCAGCCAAGUCAUGUUAACCCAGUGUAAUAUCUUUCAUAAGGGAAAUGUAUGUAUUCACUGUCUGUGGAGGGGCUUUUAAUUAUGUUGGUUAUUAAAUGAAACAGUUGAUGCAUCCCAAAUGGCACCCUAUUCACUAAAUAGUGCACUACUUUUGAACAGAGCCCUAUUUUGGUCGCCUAUGGGCUCUGGCCAAAAGUAGUGUACUAUAUAGGACAUAGGUUGCCAUGUGGGAGGCCGAUAGUGGAAGCCACUUCACCCAUCAGUCUUUAAAUGAGAGAGCCCUCAUAGGGCACAUUAGGACUUACCAUGGCUCUGUAUAUGUAACUAUUGCUUGUACCAAUGUUUCCAAAAAUGAUGCAAAGUUUUAACCUUUUGUUUGUUAUAUAUGCAAUCUCUUAUAACUGUUUCAUAACUUUCCACCUGGUGCAAACCCUUCACAAGUCUAGGCUCUUGCUAUGCAUAUAUGCUCUGCAUCCUGAAGUUCUCUUGUAGCCCAUUGCUGCCUUCCUGGCUAGGUCUCCCUUGCAAACGAAACUGUGUGUCUCAAGGUUCUUCUCCUGGUUAAAUAAAGGUUAAACAAAUCAAAUAAAAAAAAUGUGAAAUUCUAAAAUAUUAAUAUUCAACACUGUUCAGCAUGACAUGUAAGAAUAUAGUUUAUCUUAAUCAUCUCUGAAGAUUGAUUUGGGCUCCAGUGAAAUCUAUAGCUCAUCAAUCUGAGCUAAUGCUAAUGUACCCCAUUUUUUAAGAAAAAUACUGACAGUAGCAUGAGGAAUUACUAGAUGUGCUUGCUGAAAGCAAAGCACAAUUUUAGAAGUUGUUCAUACUUUUCAUUAUUGUUCCACAGCCACCUGUAGCGCCAAAACCGUGAAAGCUAUCAACACAAAAAUUAACAUCCAGAUUGCUUGAAAAACUAUUUCAUGAUACCACUCAUACCUUUCACACUACAGCCAUAUUUACAUAAAUCCUAAUGCAUUUCAAUGGCCAUAGACUUCAGUUGGAAACAUUCUUGCCGUAACUAGUAUUCCACCGUUUAAGCUACAAACGCUAUUCAAACAUUAAAACCUGCAGACCGGUCUGGAAUAGGUUGCCUGCAUGGGUCUAUCUAUAAAUAAAUGGGCCGAUGUGUGACAGGCUCAACAUUUCAAAAUGGUUUUAUAUACAUUUAAAUAUGAUUUUCUUCCAGCUUCACAUGCGUAGUUACAGGAUUAAGAGUCUAGGUAGACACAAUGAGAACAUAACUCCUAGCAACUACGAAACAUCUACAUGUCAUUCAAAAUGUCACAUGGACACCGCAUGUUUCCUUAUCAUGCCUGGUAGCCAGGUCUGUGUGUGCUUUAGUUCACUUCUCUAUCAUUUAUAGCCAUGCUAA